rnacentral:rRNA from 1 species
UACGGAGGGUGCAAGCGUUAUCCGGAUUCACUGGGUUUAAAGGGUGCGUAGGUGGGUCUGUAAGUCCGUGGUGAAAUCUCCAAGCUUAACUUGGAAACUGCCAUGGAUACUAUAGGUCUUGAAUACCGUGGAGGUGAGCGGAAUAUGUCAUGUAGCGGUGAAAUGCUUAGAUAUGACAUAGAACACCAAUUGCGAAGGCAGCUCACUACACGAAUAUUGACACUGAGGCACGAAAGCGUGGGGAGCAAACAGG